UCAAGCAUGUAAUGCAUUUAUAGUGAUGAAUAAUUAUGUCAUUGAUCUAUAUUCCUUCAUACUUUGUAGGUCUUGAAGUGUGGGUCUCUCUUUGCAUCCAGCCAAUAUUUCCAAGUUUGACAUUUUUUUAAUUGACCUUGAGAUAUGACUGCAUGAUGUAAUAUUGCCAAUUUAUAAGUGAUCCUGUUUAUUUGAAAGAUUUUUGGUUUAUUUUUAAAAUUAAUUGGCUUAAAAUUGGGUCGUGGUGUGUAAUUUACAUUUGUUUUUCCAUGAUUAUCUGAUUUCUUCUGGGCACAUGGUAGGUUUGAUGUGUGUGCUUGGUUAUGUUUUUCUUGAAAAUCUAUAUAAACUUUAAUUCUAUUCAGCCACACCUCAAUGAGAAAGAUAUCAACAAUAAUUGAGAGAGUGGGAAGUAGCCAUGAGCAAGAAUAACAUUCCCAAUUCUAAUGGAUGCCUGGACAAUUUUGCAACUUUGGAGAAGAAACUUUAAUCAAUUUAUUAUUAUUUGGCAUUCGUAAUAAGUAGUACUCAAAUAAUAUAAGACAUAAAAACAAGAGUAAAUAUUUGCUGGCUUUAAUUUUUGUUUUUGGAAUUACCUGAUUUUUUUCAUUGGUCUAUUUAUAUAAGUUGUUGCAUUGGCCUCUCUUCCUUAAUUAGUUUCUUAAAAUUUAAACAUAAUUUUCAAUGUGUUGAUAAUUUGUGUUUUGUUAUUUUUCAACUAUUUCUAUUUUAUGUUAUAUUUACACAGCCUUCCAAAAAGAACUAAUUCAAAGCAAGCAUUAGAUUCAUCCUAUAAAUUCAUCCUAUAAAGAGUUUUACUCGCCUGUGAUAUGUUUUGCUAAAACUAUAACUAAGAUUCACAUUAUUAUCUCAAAUUGCUUGGGUUGUUGACAUCCAUGUUGCAAUUAGGGAUUUAGAUAUAUUUUUCUUUUAGCAGUGACAGUGAUUACAAGUAGAAGAUAGUUACUUGAAAGUUUGUCUUAAGGCUUCUCUUAUUGAUAGUGUCUUAAGGUGGGAUGUCAAGGUUUUGGGGCUUAGUUCGGAGUUGGAGAGGAAGGGGAAGAAAAUGGGCAGCUCACCAAGGAGGUAUUUUAUUUUAUUUUAUUUGAAUACCAAUAAAAUAUAAGUGAAUAUAGGUAGGUAAUCAGAAGUUCUACAAUUCCAAUGGAAUGAUAACUGGAAUUCAAAAUGAUUUGAAAUGUUCAAUGAAUAUUGGCAUUGUUGUUUUGUCUUGCUGGAGUUGGAAACUAACAUUUUUUUUGGUUUUCUAUGGAGAGUAAUGGGGCAUUUUCUACUAACAUGAAACUUCUUCAUCCUUUUGGCCUUAAUGCUUAUGUUGUCUAGAUUUAACUUUUGAAAUUUGAAAUUAGCUGAGCAUAAAAUUUCCCAACUACAUUCUAUGACACAACUACAUUCCCUUCCAAUUCUCAUUUCACUUUCCCUUCUUUCAUCUCUCUCUUUCUAUUUCCAUUUUAUUAUUAUUUUGUUUCUUAGAAUGCCUCGCCAUUUGAGUUUCACAUUCAUUUAAAGGUUCAUUCUUUAUUUUUUAAAUCCCUUCUUGGAAAUACUUGUUGAAGGAGGGGAAUUUUUGUUUUGGAAAAUGAAAGAGGAUGUGGAACUGGUAUUUGAGAUUUGUGUGGUGAUUCCGAAGAGAGAGGCGAUUCUUAAAGGAGAUGAAGACUUUGAUUGCGGCAAUGUCUUUCCCAAGGAGCUUAAGAAUGCAGGCUUGGUUGUUGAGAGAGUUAUUGGCAAUUCAGAUGAGUUCUUCAAGCAUGAUCAUUUUUUCAUUGCCACUGCAGGCAAGAAUUGUUGCAAGCACGUGAAAAGCAUAAAGAAGAGCAAGUGAUUGCUUUGAAGCAGUCUAUGCAAAGUGGAAUGGCACAGGCAAUGAAAGAGCAAGCUCAACUGAGGGAGGAAAUGGCAUACCAAUACAAGCUUGGUAACUUUGAGGCUGCUGCUGCAAUCCAGCGAAGUUUCAUGGUGAUCAUGCCUUCAUGACAAACAUCAAUGUAGAUUAUGAAUUGUUAUGGUUAUCAGGAGCGCCAUCUUGGAGAUAUGAAUAAGCAACUUAGGCUCAAGCUUGAGGCAAAAGGGUUCAAUCUAAAAGCUAUGGAAAACCCUAUGGAUUGUCAACCUGAGCCUUUCUUGCAAAUAGGGUAAAUGAAAUUUCCAAUUUAAUUUUAGUGAUGUGUUCAUAGAAAUAAUUAAUUAAUGACCUGAUUAAGGUAUUAACACUCAAGUAUUAAUUAAUGGUUUUUUCUUGGAC